rnacentral:rRNA from 1 species
GGCGAACGCUGGCGGCGUGCCUAAUACAUGCAAGUUGAGCGCUGAAGGUUGGUACUUGUACCAACUGGAUGAGCAGCGAACGGGUGAGUAACGCGUGGGGAAUCUGCCUUUGAGCGGGGGACAACAUUUGGAAACGAAUGCUAAUACCGCAUAAAAACUUUAAACACAAGUUUUAAGUUUGAAAGAUGCAAUUGCAUCACUCAAAGAUGAUCCCGCGUUGUAUUAGCUAGUUGGUGAGGUAAAGGCUCACCAAGGCGAUGACACAUAGCCGACCUGAGAGGGUGAUCGGCCACAUUGGGAAUGAGACACGGCCCAAACUCCUACGGGAGGCAGCAGUAGGGAAUCUUCGGCAAUGGACGAAAGUCUGACCGAGCAACGCCGCGUGAGUGAAGAAGGUUUUCGGAUCGUAAAACUCUGUUGGUAGAGAAGAACGUUGGUGAGAGUGGAAAGCUCAUCAAGUGACGGUAACUACCCAGAAAGGGACGGCUAACUACGUG